AUUGAACGCUGGCGGCAGGCUUAACACAUGCAAGUCGAACGGUAACGGGUUGAAAGCUUGCUUUCAAUGCUGACGAGUGGCGGACGGGUGAGUAAGGCUUGGGGAUCUGGCUUUUGGAGGGGGAUAACCAUUGGAAACGAUGGCUAAUACCGCAUAGUAUCGAGAGAUGAAAGGGGUGGGAAACCACUUGCCAAGGGAUGAACCCAAGUGAGAUUAGGUAGUUGGUGGGGUAAAGGCCUACCAAGCCGACGAUCUCUAGCUGGUCUGAGAGGAUGGCCAGCCACACUGGAACUGAGACACGGCCCAGACUCCUACGGGAGGCAGCAGUGGGGAAUAUUGCGCAAUGGGGGGAACCCUGACGCAGCCAUGCCGCGUGAAUGAAGAAGGCCUUCGGGUUGUAAAGUUCUUUCGGUGGUGAGGAAGGUGGUAGUGUUAAUAGCGCUAUUGUUUGACGUUAGCCACAGAAGAAGCACCGGCUAACUCCGUGCCAGCAGCCGCGGUAAUACGGAGGGUGCGAGCGUUAAUCGGAAUAACUGGGCGUAAAGGGCACGCAGGCGGGACGUUAAGUGAGAUGUGAAAGCCCCGGGCUUAACCUGGGAACAGCAUUUCAUACUGGCGUACUAGAGUACUUUAGGGAGGGGUAGAAUUCCACGUGUAGCGGUGAAAUGCGUAGAGAUGUGGAGGAAUACCGAGGGCGAAGGCAGCCCCUUGGGAAGAUACUGACGCUCAUGUGCGAAAGCGUGGGGAGCANACAGG
rnacentral:rRNA from 1 species